CAGGUACUCCCUCCGUUUCUUUUUAUUUGUCGCUGGAUAGUGCAAAAUUACACUAUCCAGCGACAAAUAAAAAGAAACCUUUUUAUUUGUCGCUGGAUAGUGCAAAAUUACACUAUCCAGCGACAAAUAAAAAGAAACGGAGGGAGUACCAA
rnacentral:pre_miRNA from 1 species